rnacentral:rRNA from 1 species
GGUGCUUGCAUCAUGAUUUACAUUUGAGUGAGUGGCGAACUGGUGAGUAACACGUGGGAAACCUGCCCAGAAGCGGGGGAUAACACCUGGAAACAGAUGCUAAUACCGCAUAACAACUUGGACCGCAUGGUCCGAGCUUGAAAGAUGGCUUCGGCUAUCACUUUUGGAUGGUCCCGCGGCGUAUUAGCUAGAUGGUGGGGUAACGGCUCACCAUGGCAAUGAUACGUAGCCGACCUGAGAGGGUAAUCGGCCACAUUGGGACUGAGACACGGCCCAAACUCCUACGGGAGGCAGCAGUAGGGAAUCUUCCACAAUGGACGAAAGUCUGAUGGAGCAACGCCGCGUGAGUGAAGAAGGGUUUCGGCUCGUAAAACUCUGUUGUUAAAGAAGAACAUAUCUGAGAGUAACUGUUCAGGUAUUGACGGUAUUUAACCAGAAAGCCACGGCUAACUACGUGCCAGCAGCCGCGGUAAUACGUAGGUGGCAAGCGUUGUCCGGAUUUAUUGGGCGUAAAGCGAGCGCAGGCGGUUUUUUAAGUCUGAUGUGAAAGCCUUCGGCUCAACCGAAGAAGUGCAUCGGAAACUGGGAAACUUGAGUGCAGAAGAGGACAGUGGAACUCCAUGUGUAGCGGUGAAAUGCGUAGAUAUAUGGAAGAACACCAGUGGCGAAGGCGGCUGUCUGGUCUGUAACUGACGCUGAGGCUCGAAAGUAUGGGUAGCAAACAGGAUUAGAUACCCUGGUAGUCCAUACCGUAAACGAUGAAUGCUAAGUGUUGGAGGGUUUCCGCCCUUCAGUGCUGCAGCUAACGCAUUAAGCAUUCCGCCUGGGGAGUACGGCCGCAAGGCUGAAACUCAAAGGAAUUGACGGGGGCCCGCACAAGCGGUGGAGCAUGUGGUUUAAUUCGAAGCUACGCGAAGAACCUUACCAGGUCUUGACAUACUAUGCAAAUCUAAGAGAUUAGACGUUCCCUUCGGGGACAUGGAUACAGGUGGUGCAUGGUUGUCGUCAGCUCGUGUCGUGAGAUGUUGGGUUAAGUCCCGCAACGAGCGCAACCCUUAUUAUCAGUUGCCAGCAUUAAGUUGGGCACUCUGGUGAGACUGCCGGUGACAAACCGGAGGAAGGUGGGGAUGACGUCAAAUCAUCAUGCCCCUUAUGACCUGGGCUACACACGUGCUACAAUGGAUGGUACAACGAGUUGCGAACUCGCGAGAGUAAGCUAAUCUCUUAAAGCCAUUCUCAGUUCGGAUUGUAGGCUGCAACUCGCCUACAUGAAGUCGGAAUCGCUAGUAAUCGCGGAUCAGCAUGCCGCGGUGAAUACGUUCCCGGGCCUUGUACACACCGCCCGUCACACCAUGAGAGUUUGUAACACCCAAAGUGCGGUGGGGUA